rnacentral:rRNA from 1 species
AACAAACGCUGGCGGCGUGCCUAAUACAUGCAAGUCGAACGGGGAAAGCCUUCGGGCGAGUACUAGUGGCGCACGGGUGAGUAACACGUGGGUAAUCUGCCUUAAAGUGGGGAAUAACCAGUCGAAAGACUGGCUAAUACCGCAUAAGACCACAGGAUCUGCGGAUCUAGGGGUUAAAGGAGUAAUUCGCUUUAAGAUGAGCCCGCGCGGGAUUAGCUAGUUGGUGGGGUAAUGGCUCACCAAGGCUUUGAUCUCUAGCUGGUCUGAGAGGAUGAUCAGCCACACUGGAACUGAGACACGGUCCAGACUCCUACGGGAGGCAGCAGUAGGGAAUAUUGCGCAAUGGGGGGAAACCCCUGACGCAGCGACGCCGCGUGAGCGAUGAAA